UACAUGGGGUGCAAACGUUGCUCGGAAUUAUUGGGCGUAAAGCGCGCGUAGGCGGUUACUUUAGUCGGAUGUGAAAGCCCUCGGCUUAACUGAGGAAGUGCACCCGAAACUGAGUAGCUAGAGUACGAAAGAGGGUCGCGGAAUUCCCGGUGUAGAGGUGAAAUUCGUAGAUAUCGGGAGGAACACCGGUGGCGAAGGCGGCGACCUGGGUCGAGACUGACGCUGAGGCGCGAAAGCGUGGGGAGCAAACAGG
rnacentral:rRNA from 1 species